UACGAAGGGGGCUAGCGUUGCUCGGAAUCACUGGGCGUAAAGGGUGCGUAGGCGGGUCUUUAAGUCAGGGGUGAAAUCCUGGAGCUCAACUCCAGAACUGCCUUUGAUACUGAAGAUCUUGAGUUCGGGAGAGGUGAGUGGAACUGCGAGUGUAGAGGUGAAAUUCGUAGAUAUUCGCAAGAACACCAGUGGCGAAGGCGGCUCACUGGCCCGAUACUGACGCUGAGGCACGAAAGCGUGGGAGCA
rnacentral:rRNA from 1 species